CAUCAUGCCAACAUGAAAUAACAUUUUAGAAUCAAGAAGAAUAUUUUUCUUCUUACACUAGAUACUUUAGUUAUCUGCAGAUGUCUCCACAUAUCUAGUUUCUCAGGUACCAAUACUUAGCUAUAGUUCUAAGGCAAAAUUCCAACAAGGAACGAGAACAUAGUACUGCAUGACUUUCUUUAUCACCUUCCAGGAUUACAAUACUUAUUUUAAUUAUCUCCAGUUAUUUUGAGGUAAGUAAUGAAGUAGACAUCACCAGAUAUCUAUAAUACUAACUCAUUAUAAUAAUAAGAAAUAAGAAGUUGCAGUGGUAAAUCAUGAUUUUUUCAACUUCAUGACUUCGUAUUUUUUUUCUGGUUAUUUCUAGUUAAAUCUAUUUCACUACUGACAUAGGUACCACCAGAUAUCUGUAGUAUAAACUCAUUAUUUCACAAAAAAAUAAGAAUUUGAGUCUGUGAAGACUGUGCUUUCAAACAUCACUGCACUCCAGUGUAGGCAACACAGCGAGGUGCUGUCUCAAAAAAAGAAAGAAAAAGAAGGAAAGGAAGGAAGAAAGGGAAGAAAGGAAAGAAAGAAAGAAAGGACAGAAAAGAAGGAAGAAGGAAAGAAAAAGGAAGGAAAAUAAAAAGAAGAGAAAGAAGGAAGGAAAAAAGAAGAAAAAGAAAGAAAAGAAAGAAGGUAUUUAUGAGAAUAUUUUCUCACCUCCUUAUCUUUGACGUAGGACAGGCAAGCUGCCAAAUUGGGAUUUUGCCCGGAUGGAGGAUGAGCAGGUAGUGAGAUAGAGCAACUUUUAUUGAACUGGUAUUGCUUCUUGCAGAACAGCACUAACCCAUAGGCAGUGCACCCAGAGCCAGCAGCUGAUGGGCUGUUGGCAGCUGUAUUUAUACCACUUUUAAUUAUGUGCUAAUCAACAGGCAGGUUAUUGAGAACUUUCAAGAAAACGAGUGAGGAGUAUCCAGAAAAUUCAAGAUACGACUAUAGUGUUGAGAAGAAUAUUGUUUCAACUUCCUGGAUUGAUCAACUUUUCUUCAGCAGAGAAUUUAGUGUUGAAAAGAACGUGACUGGCAACUUCCUGCCUUCAACUAGCUAUUCUGGCUAUUUCUGGUUAUUUCUAGGUGGGUCAACUCUUCAAGGAGAACUGUAAACCACUGCUCAACAAAAUAAAAGAGGACACAAACAAAUGGAAGAACAUUCCAUGCUCAUGGAUAGGAAGAAUCAAUAUUGUGAAAAUG
rnacentral:lncRNA from 1 species